AGAGUUUGAUCCUGGCUCAGGAUGAACGCUGGCGGCGUGCCUAAUACAUGCAAGUCGAGCGAAUGGAUUAAGAGCUUGCUCUUAUGAAGUUAGCGGCGGACGGGUGAGUAACACGUGGGUAACCUGCCCAUAAGACUGGGAUAACUCCGGGAAACCGGGGCUAAUACCGGAUAACAUUUUGAACCGCAUGGUUCGAAAUUGAAAGGCGGCUUCGGCUGUCACUUAUGGAUGGACCCGCGUCGCAUUAGCUAGUUGGUGAGGUAACGGCUCACCAAGGCAACGAUGCGUAGCCGACCUGAGAGGGUGAUCGGCCACACUGGGACUGAGACACGGCCCAGACUCCUACGGGAGGCAGCAGUAGGGAAUCUUCCGCAAUGGACGAAAGUCUGACGGAGCAACGCCGCGUGAGUGAUGAAGGCUUUCGGGUCGUAAAACUCUGUUGUUAGGGAAGAACAAGUGCUAGUUGAAUAAGCUGGCACCUUGACGGUACCUAACCAGAAAGCCACGGCUAACUACGUGCCAGCAGCCGCGGUAAUACGUAGGUGGCAAGCGUUAUCCGGAAUUAUUGGGCGUAAAGCGCGCGCAGGUGGUUUCUUAAGUCUGAUGUGAAAGCCCACGGCUCAACCGUGGAGGGUCAUUGGAAACUGGGAGACUUGAGUGCAGAAGAGGAAAGUGGAAUUCCAUGUGUAGCGGUGAAAUGCGUAGAGAUAUGGAGGAACACCAGUGGCGAAGGCGACUUACCAUUGAGGGCGCGGAAAGCGUGGGGGAAGUCGAGCGAUGGAUUAAGAGCUUGCUCUUAUGAUAGUUAGCGGCGUUAACGACGGGUGAUAAGUGUUAGAGGGUUUCCCCCCUUUAUUGUGGAAGUUAACGCAUUAACCAUUCCACGUGGGUAACCUGCCCAUAAGACUGGGAUUCAAAGGAUUUGACGGGGGCCCGCCCAAGCGGUGGAGCAUGUGGUUUAAUUGGAAACUCCGGGAAGAACCUUACCGGGGCUUAAUACCUUUGGAUAACAUUUUGAACCGCAUGGUUCCUUGGGGAGCAAAUUGAAAGGCGGCUUACGGCUGUCGUCAACUUAUGUCGUGAGAUGUUGGGUUAAGUCCCGCGUCGAGCGCAACCCUUGAUUUUAGUUGCCAUUAGCUAGUUGGGCACUUUGAGGUGACUGCUGGUGACAAACCGGAGGAAGGUGGGGAUGACGUCAAGUCAUCGAUGCGUAUUACGACCUGGGCUACACACGUGUUACAAUGGAGGGUACAAAGAUCGGCCACACUGGGAGGCUGAGACAUUUUCAUAAAACCGUUUUCAGUUCGGAUUGUAGGCUGCAAUUCGCCUACAUGAGGCUGGAAUCGUUAGUAAUCGGGGAUCAGCAUGCCGCGGUGAAUACGUUCCCGGGCCUUGUACACACCGCCCGUCACACCACGAGAGUUUGUAACACCGGAAGUCGGUGGGGUAACUUUUUGAGCCAGCUUCCUAAGGUGGGACAGAUGAUUGGGGUGAAGUCGUAACAAGGU
rnacentral:rRNA from 1 species